rnacentral:rRNA from 1 species
GAAAAGAAACUAACAAGGAUCCCCCUAGUAAGGGCGACUGAAGCGGGGAUAGCUCACCGUGUGAAUCUGUGCAACUGCAACGCAGUGCACCGAAUUGUGGUCUGAAGAGGUAGCAUCGGCCGUUGUCCCGGGCCAAGUCCCUUGGAAAAGGGCAGCUGAGAGGGUGAGACUCCCGUUCUUGCCUGGGAUGGACGUGCCUUAGCAUGCGCCUUCUACAAAUCGAGUUGCUUGGGAUUGCAGCUCAAAGUGGGUGGUAAAUUCCAUCUAAAGCUAAAUAUCGGUGGGAGACCGAUAGCGUACAAGUACCGUGAGGGAAAGAUGCAAAGAACUUUGAAAAGAGAGUUAAAGAGUACCUGAAAUUGCUGAAAGGGAAGCGAAGGAAACCAGUGUCGUGCUUGGCCAUAUUUCUCCUGCUGCUUGCGGUAGGGGCGCUGUGGCCUGGCGUGGGCCAGCAUCGGUUUGCACCUCGGGGCAAAUGGUAGUUCGGGAGGUAGUUGCGCUUCGGCUCAAUGUUUAACCGUUCUACUGCGCCCUGGGGGAGACCGAGGUCAGUCUCUUCGGAGCUCGUGAUGCUGGCGAAAUGGUUUUCUUUACCCCGUCUUGAAACACGGACCAAGGAGUUUAACACAUGUGCGAGUACAGGGGUGGCAAACCCCCGUGCGCAAUGAAAGUGACAGAGGUUGGACCCUGUAUUGGGGCACAAUCCGCCGGCCACAAUCCUCCGGGAGAAAGGUCUGAGUGUGAGCAUAUGUGAUAAGACCCGAAAGGUGGCGAACUAUGCCUGAAUAGGAUGAAGCCAGGGGAAACUCUGGUGGAGGUUCGUAGCGAUUCUGACGUGCAAAUCGAUCGUCAAAGUUGGG